UUGACGGGGCCCGCACAAGCGGUGGAGCAUGUGGUUCAAUUCGACGCAACGCGAAGAACCUUACCUGGGCUUGACAUCCGCUGACCGUCCUGGAAACAGGACUCUUCCCCGCAAGGGGACGGCGAGACAGGUGCUGCAUGGCUGUCGUCAGCUCGUGUCGUGAGAUGUUGGGUUAAGUCCCGCAACGAGCGCAACCCUCAUCCUUAGUUGCCACCAUUGAGUUGGGCACUCUAAGGAAACUGCCCCGGUUAACGGGGAGGAAGGUGGGGAUGACGUCAAGUCCUCAUGGCCUUUAUGUCCAGGGCUACACACGUGCUACAAUGGGCGGUACAAAGGGUUGCAAUACCGUAAGGUGGAGCUAAUCCCAAAAAGCCGCUCUCAGUUCAGAUUAGAGUCUGCAACUCGACUUUAUGAAGGCGGAAUCGCUAGUAAUCGCGGAUCAGCAUGGCGCGGUGAAUACGUUCCCGGGCCUU
rnacentral:rRNA from 1 species